rnacentral:rRNA from 1 species
AACGAACGCUGGCGGCAUGCCUAACACAUGCAAGUCGAACGAGACCUUCGGGUCUAGUGGCGCACGGGUGCGUAACGCGUGGGAACCUGCCCUUAGGUUCGGAAUAACUCCCCGAAAGGGGUGCUAAUACCGGAUAAUGUCUUCGGACCAAAGAUUUAUCGCCUUUGGAUGGGCCCGCGUUGGAUUAGCUAGUUGGUAGGGUAAAAGCCUACCAAGGCGACGAUCCAUAGCUGGUCUGAGAGGAUGAUCAGCCACACUGGGACUGAGACACGGCCCAGACUCCUACGGGAGGCAGCAGUGGGGAAUAUUGGAGAAUGGGCGAAAGCCUGAUCCAGCAAUGCCGCGUGAGUGAUGAAGGCCUUAGGGUUGUAAAGCUCUUUUACCCGGGAUGAUAAUGACAGUACCGGGAGAAUAAGCUCCGGCUAACUCCGUG